rnacentral:lncRNA from 1 species
ACUUAUGCUUCCGUACAUCCCACAUCCUCCAUGGAACAAGACGACUCCCCUCCGUUUGCUGGCAGAUGGUGAUCUUGGGAGGUAGAUCCUCACUGGCACCUCACCAAAGUGCAGAUCCUUUAUGAGGAGCUCUGAAGCCCUCCGUGCCCUCAUUCCAUUAGAAAACAUCCUUAUAAGAGCUCCUGGCAACACAGACACAUCUUCAAUUUUAAGGAAAAGAACCG